CACAGAACAACAAAAAAUCAUUUUUUUGCUGUACUUAUUGCUCGCUCUGAAUCUCUUUUAUAGAAAUCUGGCCUUUGGCAUUGAACUUGGAUAAUAUUUUAUUAGAAGAAAGCAUGAUUCACUGAAAUGGCGCACUUCGGUAUCUACGGAAAGGAAAACUGGGAAGGACACAAAAGAAGUGAGACUGUGGAAAACCAAUUCAAGGAACCAUUGCCACACAAAGAAUCUCAAUCCGCGGGCCCAGUUGCAACCGUGGACUUAGGCUCAGAUGUGCAGUUUUCAGCCCGGAGGUGCCUUGCUGCACACCCUGCGUAAAUCCACCGUGACAUUUGAAAAGUCACUCUCAAAAAUCAUCAGACAGAUUGUCAAGGAUACCUCGGUGUUGCUGUGCUCUCUGUUCCUGAAUGCCCACGGCUGGGCAGCACGCUGCCCGGCAGGCGUCACGGGAAACGAUGCUGCAUAGACGGGUGCUCGAUGGGGAGUCGCACGCUCAGCAACCGCCAGACCUACCCACGUGCGAAAUGCAGAAGAAAUGAAGUGGAACCUGGGUACCCGCCUUGCCCGUGAGCUGGCUCUUGGGAUCGGAUACAUAAACAGGUUAGAAAUUUUGCAAUGAAAAAAAAACGAACCAAAAAACCCAAGCCCCAAAGCAAAAUAGAACAGCACAUUUUCAUUCUAUAAAUUAACACAACCAGAACGUGUUUCAGGGAUGUGCUGGCUAUGGGUCUGUGCUCAGGUGGAAUGUGAUUUGUAAGCUGACUGCUAUUUAAUGCUAUCUAAAUGCUCUUAUAAAUGUCACGGAGAAGUGGGAUCCCACUAACUUUAGCUAUUUAGAAAUGGGAAAUCUAGUCUAAGUGGCUGAGCUAGAUUCCUCGCUCAGUGG